UUUCCGUAGGUGAACCUGCGGAAGGAUCAUCAUCGAAUAAUCGAGGUGCGAGGCUUGUCGCUGAUACGAAUGGUCGUGCACGACCGAGGGCCCUCCCGCACAUCCAUCCCACCCCUGUGCGCACCACCGCGUGGGCCCCUCCAUGGUUUGUCUGGAGGGGGGCUUACGUUUUAACACUAACUAAGGAUGCAGUGUAGUCUGUAUUUUUUGUUUUUGCGAGCACGCAGUAAAUACAACUUUCUACAAUGGAUCCAUUGGUUCCGGCAUCGAGGCAGAACG
rnacentral:misc_RNA from 1 species